UUCUCACGUGAGUCCAGCCUUUGCUAGCUGUAAACUUUCUAUUCUAAUGUUCUUUGUCUCAUUGUGAAGCCAAUGUUUGGCUGCCAGCUGGGGAAAUUCAAGGCAGACUUCUUUUUGGGUAAAAAGGGAGGCUACAACGUUGAGAGAAAAUUUGACAGCUUCUUCCUCUGCAUUUUCUUCUUAUGAGAGGUCUGCAUUUUGCAUUGUGAGAUUUUGACAAUUGGUUUUUAAAAUCUACUUUGAUCUUUAAAAUCUGCUUUGAGUUGUUGAAUGCGCAUUUUCUCUUGGAAUUUAGAUUUCUGAAGUUACAGAAAAAAGGGCUACUGUCCGCUUGGGGUCGUUGGAUUGGAGCAUUGGAAGAUGACUUAUUCUUAUCCCUGUAUCUGUCUAAGCCGAAUCUGCCAGUUCAUGCCUUCCAACACUCAUAUUGAUAUUGCAUGACAAGUUCAAAACCACAUUGAGCAAAAUGCUGAUUUCCACCAUUCUCUUUCAGAUAGAAACAGUAACAAAGCUUAGCUUCAGGUCCAGGUCCCAGGUCGAAGAAAAAUAGGCUUCAGUCCAAAAAAGAUGAACAGUCGCUGAUGACUGAGUCUUUACAGCGACAUUAAAUUAAUAUUCCAAUUCUGUUCUAUCAAUAUCAAUAGGGUAAUCUGCUGAAUUGCCCCCUGAAUUUGUACAUAACUCUCAAUUUACCACAUGACCUUUUUUUUUAGCGAAUUAAGGGCUCGAAUUAAAAUUUAUUAUCAAUGUUCCCCCCACCGUCAAAAUUCGAACAUUUCAUCCAUUAUUCCGUCCAUUUGACUCACUUUGACUCUUUUUAAGGGUUAUUUUCGUCAUUCAGAGAAUUGAACCCUUACCCAGUCAAACCUUCACACACUUCCCACAUACAUCGCGCUCCACCUCCAUUUGUUUAUGUUUCUGGCGAUUUCCAGUUAUCUAUCUAUCUAUAGAGAGAGAGAGAGAGAGAGAGAGAUGAGGACGAACUUACCCGGCAGCGUUGAUGGGUCACACAGAGGGAGUUCGGAGUUCGAAGACGGCAAUUCAUGGAUGUUGCCAUCACGAGUCUACUACUGUGGGAAGGUUGCAAAAAUUCAGACUUCUUGGACCUCUUCACAUCCAGGACGAAGAUUUUAUGUUUGUGCACGGAAUCGUUAUCAAAUGUGGGAGUGGGGUGACCUUGUUAUGUGCAAUAGAUCUAAGCAAAUAAUUCCAGGACUGCUGAGGAGAAUUAACAAGUUGGAAGCAAAAAAAAAAGAAAGGGAAUUCGAAGCUGAAAAACCCAUGGUUUUGGGUGUCGUUGUGCAUGUUUGGGGUUAUUAUAUGCUUGAUUUUGAAUGAAGAUAAAGGCAUCAAUGGGCAGCUGUAAAAAGGGAUGGGUAGUUGGCAUUUUGUAAGGGUUAGAAAGGGAUGGGUGGUUGCCAUUUUGUAAGGGUUAGAAAGGGAUGGGUAAUUGGCAUUUUGUAAUGGUUAGAAAGGGAUGGGUAAUUGACAUUUUGUAAUAGUUAGAAAGGGAUGGGUGAUUGGCUUGUUGUAAAGGUCAGAAAGGGUGUGUAAUUGGCUUCAUUUUGAGUGUUGUGACCAAUGAAAUCAAUGUAUGAGUUGUUUUGUUGAAUGAAAA